UGCAGCGGCGUUGGUUUUUCCCUCGGUGCAUUUGGUGGCAGAGCUGGAAGGAAUGGCACGGCUCCCUCGCGGUCCUAGUGCUCGUCUACUACUUCCCCCCUGGGUCAGAGCCCUCCUCUACUUCACUUACAGCGGAGCCUUCAAGAUCGACGGGGACAUCUGAGCCUUGAAGGCACAGCAGCGGAAGGAGUCUGAGUCUCCUCCGCAGGGCAAUCAAAGCCCUCCUGACAGAUGGCCAUCCAGCUUCGUAGACAUUUGCAACGUCCUGAUCAAAGCCCUCCCGACAUAAGGCCACAGCACUUCUAGAGACUCCCAAGAAAACAGUGUGCUUGACCCUCUCACGCAGUUCCUUUCUUCUGUCCCUUUCCAGGAACACGAAUUACUGUCUGUACUACAUGAGGAACAACUCCUAACAGAGUGGCAUGCCCUAUAGUUGCUCCGGACACGCCCCUUUCAGCUAUUCCUUCCCGCUCUGAGGAGCCCCGCCCACUAAGGCCUCAGCCAAUCCGUCCCUGGCAAGUCCCGCCCCCUUGUUUACAACAGACACGCGCAGAGAGUUCUUCUCAGCCUAGAGGAGUUGGAUGACAGUGCAGUGGGGUUGGUUGUUCCCUCGGUGCAUUGGGAGCCCAUUCUCGACAGGCGGACUCCAUUCACAGUGCUGGUUGUGCUCCUCGGUGCAACUCAGCAUGGCGCCGUGGUGGCAGAACUGGAAGGAAUGGCUCGACGCCACCGCGGUCCUGGUGCUCAUCUAACUGCUCCCGCCCUGGGUCAGAGCCCUCCUCUUCUUCGCCUACUGCGGAGCCUGGAAGAUCGAUGGGGACAUCUGAGCCUUGAAGGCACAGCAGCGGAACCCCUUUGCAGGAACUCCAGGGCUACCUUCUCAUCAUUUGUCAUGGAAAUGGUCACCUCGCCCCCCCAGGUCAUCAUAACUGAGCACCGCAGUGUGUCCUGGACCUACUCGGCAACCAGCCACAACCCCUCCAUCCUCUCAACUUGAAAGCUGGAAGAGGCCAACCAGCUGGAAGAGGACGAGCCCAUGGAGGUGGAAAUGGGGCCAUCACUGCUGCCUGUCAUCGAGGAGGACAUAGAGGUAAUCGAGGCUGAUUCCAGCUCCUCCACAUCCGCGGCCGCUUCUUCUACAAGCACCAGGAAAUGACUCCCAAUUAGCAUUUUAAACAAGUUUUCAUUAAGGCAUCCAAGGUCUUGCUGAUAAGUUUGUGUAGACUAUUUGCUACAACUCCUCUCUGAUUGUUUCUCUCAAUUACAAAGAUGGAAGGACUGAGCAGCAGGACCUGUCUUGUGAUUGAUCCCAUAGACAUUCCUACAGAGACUAGUGAUCGGACGAGGACUAAGACACAUCCCCGGGCACUUUCCACAGCCAUCUCGGCGCUGCUGACUCUCCCUCUGCCUCACCUCCUCUUUCACUGUGGCACAUAGAAAAUAAUAAUUUUGCAAGCUAGUAGAGCUUGUGGUAUGAUGACAGCAAUUACCUGCAGAUCCCUGCAGAUCUUUUUUUUACUUGACCACAGCAGCAAGGAUAUGUAUUCCCCGCGUAUGGAAAACUGAAAACACAGCAACUUUUGAUUCAUGGAUCAAUAAGGCUAUGAAUAUCAUGAAUAUGGACUUGCUAACACAAAAAAUAAGAAAAAAUAGUGCAACAGAUAACACCGACUGGAACAAGUUCAUUAAUUUUCUAAAGAAAAAUAAUCUCAAAUAUUGUUAAAAUAGGAAGGAAAGAAGAAUUCCGGAAGAGAUAUUAAAAGUAGGUUAAAAAUUAACCAUCAAAACAAAAUACGUUGGGAAUGAAUUAAACUCAGGUUGCUUGAGGUUCCUGGAAGUUAGGGGGAAACUAUAUGUAUUUAUGUACUGAUGUGUAUAGAUAUCGAAAUGUGUUGUAGGGGAAGGGGGGGCUAGGACAACAUUUAGUUUAGGAAUUUGGGCUAGGUAAAUAACUUGGUAGAUAGGAACGAAUACGACUUGAGAAAAUAGACAUGGAUGAUUGUGUAGAAUAUAAUACAUAGAGAGAAAUAUACAGCCUUUAAGGCAACUACCCUUUUAAUCUUGUAUAUAAAUUUGUCUGUAUUGUUCGUCUUGUCUGUCAAUUUGUAUACGUCGAAAAAAUCUUUUCAAUAAAAAUAAUGAAAACAAAAAACAAAGACACUGAAUUUUUAACCUCCUAAGUGCCUAUCUUUAUGUGCCUAUCUCUAUGUGUGUGUACCAAUAGGAAUACAUUUUAACUACUGAUAUGGGUUAAUAAGUAGCAGUGAAUGAAAC